CCUCGGGGGAGUAGCCUCUCCUUUCACGUUGGCGGCCAUCAACAUAAUUGCUCCGCAGAGCAUGGUGGUCGCGGUCCCGGCCCAGGGUUCUCCCCUGCCCGCCUCCGGACU
rnacentral:sRNA from 2 species